rnacentral:rRNA from 1 species
CCCUUAGAUGUUCUGGGCCGCACGCGUGCUACACUGAGUGGAUCAGCGGGUCAGGUUGCGCGAAAGUGUUUCCUAAUCUUUAAAUCCGCUCGUGAUGGGGAUUGACGGUUGCAAUUUUCCGUCAUGAACGAGGAAUACCUUGUAAGCGCGGGUCAUCAUCCCGCGCUGAAUACGUCCCUGCCCUUUGUACACACCGCCCGUCGCUCCUACCGAUUGAGUGGUCCGGUGAGGCUUUGGGAUCUGAGCGGAAAGAGCGUUUCGCUGUUUCUGCCCGGAAAACUCGGUCGGACCCUAUCAUUUAGAGGAAGGAGAAGUCGUAACA